CGUAUCAGUUUCGAGAGAGAGAAAUAAAGAGAGUGUUUUCCUCCACCAAACCAAACCCCUCUGCAACUAUUUUCUUCCAUCUUCGUAUCCGUAUUUCAAUGGCAACUGUAACUUUAAAGAUCUAGGGUACUUUGGCUAAUCUAAGCACUAAUAAAAAAAUGGAUGAACUUCUUCAUCUCAUUGAUGUUUGCUCCGAAGAUAAUCGUCUCCUCUCCAUCACGGUUAUCAUCAUCAUAGUCCUCCUAAUCAACUAAUGAGUUUAAUUUCAUUUAAGAUGGUUUGUGGUUUGAUCAAUUUGAAAUGGAUUUUAGGCAAAAGGUGCUCAGAGGUUUAGUGCUGCAGUAGCUAACACUAAAUAGAAAGAAAACAGAUAAAGGUGCGUACCAUUGGUGAAAGCAAUCAGGUGGUGAAAUUUGGAAACUGAAGUGAGCAAUGUACAACUGAGCUUCCAUUUUGAACUUAGAUGGUUGCGAAUUAUGUACUGUUCAUCAUACAAUUUUCCUUUAUUCUAAAACUGCGAUUGAUUUUUAAUUUUGUACUGUUUUUUCUUA